rnacentral:rRNA from 1 species
GUGACUGCGUACCUUUUGUAUAAUGGGUCAGCGACUUAUAUUCUGUAGCAAGGUUAACCGAAUAGGGGAGCCGUAGGGAAACCGAGUCUUAACCGGGCGUUAAGUUGCAGGGUAUAGACCCGAAACCCGGUGAUCUAGCCAUGGGCAGGUUGAAGGUUGGGUAACACUAACUGGAGGACCGAACCGACUAAUGUUGAAAAAUUAGCGGAUGACCUGUGGCU